AUGGCGUUACUGCCUGACCCCACUGCAGAGGGAGAGCCUGAGCCCGCCGCGACUGAGCCGAUCAUCGCAAUGGAGCCUGAGCCUCCAGCAUUGUCUGACCAAGUGCGUGAGCUGGCAACAUCGUCCGUUCCCAUGGGAGUUUUGGUGGAGAUCAAGGGCUUGGAGGAAAGCCCAGCCCACACUCCCGCCACUGAGGGUGAGCUGCAACUGGUCACUGGACAAUACUAUGAGGAAUUUAUGGACCUUUUCCAGAUGGAUUUAAUAGAUUGGUUUGGGGAGGCAUUACCCAAUUCUCCUGUGUUUCCGCUGGCUCCACCCAGUCCUGAUUCUCCUGUGUCUCCACUGGUUCCGCCCAGCCCUGAAUCUCCUGCGUCUCCAUUGGUUCCGCCCAGCCCAAGUCCUUCUGUGUUCCCUCCCAGCUUCCCUCUCCCGCCUUCUUUCAAACCAGCCAGUUCCUCAACCCUAUCUCCGCUGGUGCCUGUCAGCCCCUCAGCUCACCCUCUGUCAGUGCCAUCUGGGCGUUCUUAUUCGCCUCGGGACUUCCAGUCUCCAGCUCCGCCUUGGCGUGAGGAUCCUCUGUCUCCGCCUCCAGCCUCAGAGCCCUGGACUCCACCUCGGUCCUUCAACCCAUCGGCUCCGCCUUGGCACUUAGCUCCCUCGUCUCCACUGUGGCCCGUCAUCCCACCAGCUCCACCGGGCUCCCUCGUCCCCCCGGCUCCGCCUUGGUCAGUCGUCGCCAUCCACCACCUCGGGACUCCACUCCUCUGGCUUCGCCUCAUCACUACAUCCCUCCGGCUCUGUCAGGCUCCUCCGGCUCCACCUCCAUCCUCAGUUGCUCCGGCUCCACAGCGGUCUUCCGGAGCCCCGCCUCUGCCUCAGUUGCCUGUGCCUUCAGCGCCGCCUUGGCCCUCUGGAUCCUCCGUGUCACCCUGGCUCUCCGUCUGCUCAGCUCCAUACUGGGAUCCUCAUCCAUCAGUGCAGUCUCCGUCAGUUGGCCCCCUGGUGUUGUCGGCUCUUACUCCACCAUGGCUCCUCCCGCCGUCGACUCCACCGUGGGCCACCAUCCUGGCUGGCCUCUGGAGUUCCAUCUGGCUCCUCCUGCUCCAGGCUCCUCCCUGGCUCCUCCAUCCACUCCUCCCUGGUACUAUGGUCUAUGCUCCCUCUCCAUUGCCUGCCCCCCGCCCGCCUCCUGAACCCCACCCUCCCUCCUCUGGACUAUUUCUGUCAGUGCGGGGAUGCACCGUUCCGGGAGGGGGCGAACUGUCACAAUUAUGGACAUCUGUUCUUACUGUGUUUCCUUAUUUGGUCAUGUUCCUUUUCUUGUUUAAUUAA
ensembl:lncRNA